UAGCUUUGGGCUAUAUAGGUAAUGAUAAGAGGGCAUGGGUUUUAUCUGGGCCAACUGCGUGAGGCUCAAAAGGUUAACCGAAAUGGGACUCAUAUUGUUGGCUCAAUUGGGUUAAAUGUAUGGGCCCAAUUCAGCAUUAACGUGGGCUAACCGGGCAUGGGACAGAAAUGGGAACACUAUAUGGGGCCCAUGUGGUUUCAGUAUAUUGGGCCUAAAAGGUUUUUUGUAAAUAGGAUGAAGGCAUUGUAGUUCAUAUUUUUAAAUUCUUUUUUUAAUUGUUGUGUGACACUUUAAAGCGUUUUGUUAUGUCAUAGUUUAUUUCAAUCUGCCGCUAUUGUGUUGGUCUAGAGUAGUCAUCAGUGUCAGGGUUCCUGUGUGAGAGUGUGUGUAUGUGAGUGUCGCAUCUUAUUUCAGCGAGGAUCUUUGUGAGGAGCCCGUGGAGCUUGGCACAGGUGGAGGAGCAGCAGAAUCUUCAGUCUACGCUAGAUUGACUGAAGAUUCUACUGGUGUAUGCUAGAUGGUUGCAUACACCGGUAGUCACUCUGGCCUCUCCUGUUGUGAACAGUUUUCUGAGAACGUUUCUGUGUCUACUAGAAGUCACCUGGUCUCUGUGUUUGUUCGAUCCUAGGGGUUUUGUCGCCUCAUUCGAGAACUCACCAGUGAAUACCUGCCUGCUCGCUCCGCCGAUUCCACUGCCUCCACUCCACCCUUCGAGCUUCCAGCUCUCUUCCAUUCCCACCUCGCAUUUACCUUCGGAACCGCUGCACACCCUCUCUCAGGAACCUGGCAUCUCACACCCACGCCUCGAAAGACCCGCACCGAAGCUUCAAGAGGAUCAGCGUGUGAAGAUCACUUUAUAAUGAUUUGAAAAAGGUUGCCAUGGCUACAGAAAUUGGAGGAGCAUCCUUAGAUGACACAAUACAACCAGCUGUGCGAUUCCUCAUGUCCCAUGAACUGGAAGUCCAGUUCAACCUUUUUGGCCAACAUUGGAAACAAGCUCUUGGACCUGCGUCUCUUUGAUGUUUUGUAUGGGGACUUAAAAGAAAUUAUCCAUCUACAGAAUCACACAAGCAUACAGCAAAGACUCUCGAAGUGGUUUACUGGAGCCCGAGUGGAAGUGGAAAUAGACUAGAGAGACUGCCAGUUCAAACUCAGGUUGGGGAGGUCUUUCAAGAUGGACAGUUUCAGUAAAGUAUGAGAGAUUUCAAAUUUAAGCAUGCAUAUGGCAUGUAGGUUAUUUUUAAAAAUGUUUAACAAAAAUGUAUUGUGAAAGAUCUAUAUAGGUGUGUAUAUUCACAUUGUGUGUAUCAAUGUGAAUAUACGUGUAUAAAGUUAUAUAGAUAGUAUUUAGAUGUAUACAUUUAUAGACCUGUAGGAAAAUAUGUAGGUGUCUUUAUUUGUGUGCAUCUAUAGAUAUAUAUUUAUAGAUCUGUUUAUAAGUUUGUUAUAGUAAACUAGCUUCUGUUAUUUUCAAAGAUGUCGUGAAUAAUUGCAGAUUUCUUUUUGUGGCACCAUUCCCUGAGUAUUAAUGAAGUUCUAAUAAUUGCUGUAGUGAGGUAAAAAAUAACUCCUGACAAUAUUUUAAAUUACUAAAUAAAA